rnacentral:lncRNA from 1 species
AUAGGGAGAAAGGAGCUGGGAACGGAAGAGACGAUUUCCAGGUGAGUGUGGCAGCGGCAGAAGAUCGGCUGGCAACAGGGGUGAUGCUCCUGAUGUUUCCCCAGGGCUUUCCUGCCCACCAAGAGCUCUCCCUAACCUGCAUGUGCACAUCCAGGUUCGAAGUGAGGGGCGGGCUUUGCUUGCCUAAUGCUGUUACUGUUGACCUCCCCAACUCAGAGCAAUCCCAUUACUCUAAGGGGAGAAGACAUUUGGGAGACCCAUCAGCUUCACCCACAGCCACUGGAGGGAAUUCCUUCCUGACCCCUGUGCUGAGGGGGUCAAGAGGCCCAGUAUGGCGGCUGGACAUGGCCUGUCAGGAGUGUGUCCCCCAGUCACACCCUCAAGCCCCUCCCUGGGGCCUCCACCCAGAUGAUACUGAAGGUGUGCCGGCCCCCCAACCUCCUGUCCUCCACCACACACACCCCGAGAGACUUUCUGCUUUUUAGAAAACCUCUGCUUAAGAAAACAAGAUACAAACUCCCAUGGGCAUGUGCACUAAACAUACUUAUUUAGCAAUUCAAAGCCUGAGGAAAGACACCCUUGAGUUUUCCCCGACUUCCCCUGAGUGUCUUGGGCCUUGCACUGCUCUUUCCUAAUUUCAUCUUUAGAAGUGGUAUUUUUUCAAGCUACCUCCAAAGACUGAAUUUAAUGAGCCUGUAUCAUAGACACUUCUGGGACUCCUCCUGGCCCCUUCUUCUAGAAAGGAAACAGGAUCAGGAUCUGGGCCUGCAUCCAGGGCAGGUAGUUUCUCCCAUCCUCCUACUCUGCUGUCACUGGGGGUGAUGCAAGAAGACAAAACCCAUUGGGCCUGUGGUCCCCUUACUUAAUGAACUGUCAAAGAGACAUGAGACACCGAGGAUAGCAGGAGAACAGAGCAAGUCUGUGGCUGGCCAGUGGAAGGGGCAUGCCAUGCAGAAGCCCCUUGGGAUUGAGUCUAGGCAUUGUCAGCGGGGCUGGCUCGGGCUGAGAAGUGUCCUCCAAGGAGGUGAUGUUUAAACUCCCUCUUGAACUGUGGGUGAGAUGUACCAUGGCAGAGAACAGGUUGGAGGCAUUUCAAGGGAUGAUAAAAUGCCCAGACAGGUUCCUCAGUCUUCCUCUAGGUCUUGGCAGGCCCUUAGAGGGUGAUAGGAAUAAAACCUGGAGGUCUGACUUGAAAGCCCGGUCAUGAUGGAUCAAAAAGUGAGCUUUGUUAAAGGCUUUGGGCUCAGUCUUACCUAGAGACAACCCCUGGUGAUCCCAAGUCAUUAAUCCACCCAGAGGCCCAUCCUGACCUGAGUUCCCUUUCUUUGAAGUGUGCUGUCCUCUUCAGCAUGAGGAAAUAAUUUGCUGCCUGCUUCAAUGAACCCUCAGGAGAGCCAGCAGACCUAAUGACAUGUGAGAAUAUUAACCUCCUACCACGAAGAGCUGUGAAUCUUGAGCAGCAGUCUAUAAUUCACCAAGGACUCCUGAGCCAGACCUCUCCAGCUUUCUCUCUCACUCACUUUCUCACUUACACCCAGAGAGAAAAGGAGAGAUCUGCUCAUAAAACUUUAUAUUCUCCAAUAGUGUGAGCCUUGCUGAGCUGUUUAGUAAUGAGAGACUUUCCUUUCAUAGUCAUGGAGAAAGUAUAGCCCCAGAGGCAGCAAGGAAGGGGGAGUUUUUUUUCUUUCUUUCUUUUUUAUUUUUUAGAUUCUAUUUUAUUCUCUUCCAGGUUUAUUGAUAUAAUUAACAUACAGCACUGGGUAAGUUUAAGGUGGACAGCGAAAAAAGAAAGAAAAGGAAGGAAGGAACAAAGGAAGGAAGGAAAGAAGGGAAGAAAUUGCUUUUCCUUGUGAUAACUCUUAGGAUGUGUUUUCUUAACAGCUUUUGUAUAUAACAUAAAGCAGAGUUAAUUACCUUUAUCACGUCACACAUUACAUCCCCAGGACUUUAUUUAUCUUAUAACUGGAAGUUUGUGCCUUUUCUCCACCUUCAUCCAGUUCUCCCUCCCUCCACCCUCUGGUAACAACAAAUAUGAUUUCUUUUGCUUUGAGUUUCUCUGUUUUUUUUUUUUUUUAAUUUUUAGUUUGUUUUUGAAGUAUAAUUGACUUACAGCACUAUGUUGGGUCCUGGUACACAGCAUAGUGAUUUGAGACUUCUGUAUGCCAUGAAACGAUCGCCAUGAUAAGUCUCAUUCCCAUUUGUCACCAUGCGAAGGGGAGAAUUAUUUUUAGUGUUGCAUUUUGCAAAGGAGCCUUCCCUCUAAUGUGGGGAAAAUGCGCAGUUUCAUGGAGGUGACUGUUAGAACGCUUGGGUAACCACACUUUGUAGUUCUGUACUUUGUCUUAAAAACCAGAGAAAAUGCAGGAUAGUAAACUAAUCAGGACAUCUGGUGUUAGAAGGGAUCUUAGAGCUCUUGCCAUCGCUGGAAGGUUGAAGGAGCACAUAAACCUCCUGGGGUUAUGGCUGUGUUUAUUUUUUUGUCUUUGUUUCAUGAGCUUUUGGGUCCCUUGAGGGCACAAUAACGUCUUAACCAGGUCUUUCAUCCUAGGCCUAUCAAAAUGUUUGAUCCAUCAAAGCCUCUGAUAUUAGUCAAAAAUGGAGCAGAUCAUCCACUUCAGCCACAUAUUUUGCGUACAGACACAACCAAAGUCCACAAAGUGAUUUGCUCGUGGACAUAACGACCUGGGCCAAAGUCUGCCUCUCUGGUUAGAAGAUGGCUCCUUUUGGGAGUAGAAUGCCACCUUGGUGUUUUCCCAAGCAGUAUGUUGUUCUCAUGGAGCUGAACUAGUGAGCUCAGGGAAGCCAAGUGCACAUGCAGGGCCAGAAGACCAAAAUCGGGAAGUAAAUAUGGAAGUGGAAAAGUAACUGGGGGAGGGAGGAGUGUGCCCAAGGACGUACAGUGGUGGCUGCCCUGCCGAGACCACCGAGCACAGUAGGAGUUCUUGGACCAGGGGAGUAUUCCUCACUUUGCUGGGAACACCAAGCCCCCCCAGGCUUCAGUGUGGGUGGUAGCAGGCCUGUUCCAUGCACCCUUGGCUUAGGUAGGGAUGUGCAGUUAAUAUUCACUGAAGGAAGAAUGGAGUAAUGAAUGAGUGAACCAUUCUGUGCUUAUGAGGGUACUUUUCUAUUCAGCCAGGCCAUAUAAUUUCCAUAGCUCAGUGUCUGUGCACAAUACUGGGCACAGACAGGCUAUUUCAUGACAGAGAGAUGUAAGGAAAACACAUUAUUUUUUUUUCCCUCUGCUGACUUGACUAGCACAUUGAAUGGAAAAAACGGUGGAGAGGGUCCACUCUGGUUGUUUGUAGAUCUCAGCCUUUCUGGUCUCUCCAAAUUGCUCUCCUCUUCCUUCUGCCAUUUUGUUGUUGUUCUUUUUAAAAUUAAUUUUAUUAAAACCAGUCAAAUUAAAACUGCUUCUGUCAGGGCAUCUCAAGGUCCAUUCAUUAUGGCUUCUUAUCUUGGCAGGCGAUCGACAUGGAAAGGCAGCUCAGCCAUUAUGCACAUACAAAGCCCAUCACUUCCCUACCAGUGGCCAAUUCAUCAAACAUUUAUCUUUUGCCCUCUAAGCACUGUGUCACUUUGCCUGUCACUCCCUAGUCUAGGAUGCUAUGAAAGAUGAAAAAACCAUAGGGGUGGGUAGGGUUCCCCCCCAACUUUUCUCUCUUAGACAGCCCUUGGUUGUUUUUUGUUUUGUUUUAUUUUUAUUUUCUUCAUUGAUAUAUAGUUGAUUUAUAAUGUUGUAUUAGCUUCAGGUGUACAACAAAGUGAAUCAGAUACAUGUACACAUAUAUCCAUUCUUUUUUACCACAUACGUUAUUACAGAACAUUCAGUAGACCUCCCUGUGCUAUGCAGCAGGUUCUUGUUAGUUAUCCAUUAUAUAUACAGCAGUGUGUUUAUGUCAAUCCCCUCGUCCCAGUUCUCCCUCCCCCCCAGGGAUUUCCCCUUUGGUAACCAUAAAUUUGAUUGUGAAAUCUAUGAGUUUGUUUCUGUUGUAUAAAUAAGUUCUUUAGUAUCUAGCAUUUUGAUUAGAUUCCAAUCACAUAUUAUAUCAUAUGUGAUAUCAUAUGAUAAUUGUCUUUCUGACUUACUCCACUUAGUAUGAUCAUCUCUAGGUCCAUCCAUGUUGGUGCAAAUGGCAUUAUUUCAUUCUUUUUUAUGUCAGACAGCCCUUGUUAAUCAGAUUUCAUACUUAAGACUUGAAACUCUCCCCACCCCUGCCCUCUGACCCCCAUUUGUUCAACGUGGGAAGGUUGGGAAGGGCCUGCCACGUUCCUACCGAGCUUUUUACUGAAUGGUGGCCUAACUAGGCAAUGAUAAAAAUUUGGUUUAGUUUGGGGCUUUUUCUCUUGCAACCCACUUAAGAACAGAGAAUAUUGCAAAGGGAAGAGAUGUCUGAAAUAAAUGAGUCCAACCUCCCCAGUUUACAGGACUAAGGGGCAGGGAUAUGACUGAAGCAUUGUGGGAAAGGAGAGAGGAAGGCAGAACCAGAAUCAGGGUCCUUGCUCAUUUUGGUCAGAGGUUCUCCCAAGCUGCCUUUUCCCCAUGUUGCCCAAUGUUUCUGAAUACGUAUUAGUAUCUCGUUGAAGGCUUUAGCUACUUGCUUCCUUUUCUGUGGUAACUAAUGACUUCUUUAGAAAAUACAUAUAUUAUUAUUUUUGAAAACAGUCUUUCCAAUAUCAACAACCCUUAUACGUAUCUAGGUUUGUUUUCACAUACUUUAUCCCGUGUCCUCCUCAUUCCAAUAUCUGCAGAGUAUACAGGUCAGGGAUUUUCCUGCCAAUGUGAUGGAUUCGAAAAUUAAACCCGAGGGGCAUCAUUUUUCCAAAGCCAUACAGCAUACCCAGGACUUGAAAAUGGAGCUCCCAUCCCCUAAUUAAGCCGUCUUACUUUGUAUGUCUACUUACUGCAUUGGGUUUGGCUUCCCUGAGUUGACAAGAUCAGAACACACCAUUUCUUGGGAAACCACCACCAGCACAUUUUACCUGCCAGAGUAGCAAACCGCCAGAGAGGUAGACAGGGAUGCAAGAACGUUCAUUUAGUCCCAGGAAAAUGCCUUGUCCAUCACUGCUGUGCGUCCACCAGCGUUUGCUUUCUUCUCUUUGUCCCUAGCGCUGUCACUUCUGUUAGGUGUUGGUCCUCAGGGCCCAGAACGUGCCAUUUUAUGAAAUGGAGUGCAAACCUGACAACGUUGUUCUUUGAAAGGCUUUUCAAACACAGCUAUGACUGUUUUGGAAGAAGGAAAAUGGCUCUAGGAGCAAGCCAUUUGCAGAGGUCACUGCAUCUCCCAGGGUUUUUUGUCCUGAAGGAGAUAUAAAGCUAUCUUGUAGUCUGAGACAGAAAACAUGUUUUCACCUUUUCCAGCCAACUGGGACCUCACAGCAUCAGCAGUUGGCAUGUUUUUGCUGGUUUUCCUGGCCUGAUUCCAUUCCAGGGGGCCCUGCCCAUGGGAAGCUGGUCUUUGGGCAAGUAUUUGAUGAAGGCCCCUCUGGAUCCCUAGGGUCUAGAGGCCGAGCCAUGUAAAUGUCUCCUUUUCUGGUUGGUUUGCAAUGAGUAGACACCAUCUGUUGAAUUAAAAAUUCCCUUUAUGGUGGGUGGUGAAAGGCUUGUGUGGAAGAGACACUGUUAUCUUUCAAGCAAACAGUUCAUGAGGCUGAAGAACCGUGUUCUUGGCCCAACAUGUGUUUGCGCAAUGGCUGUGGGAACCUCCCCCACUGGGCGCUGAAUUCCGCCCCAUGGCCCAUGGCGACGUGCACACAUACCGCAGUGGCCGCACACCAUGUCCGCGCCCUUACAUCUCCCCAGUAAAGAAAACCUCCAUUUAUAGACCCCGCCAAACAAACUCGCUCCUUAGACUCUUAAAAACAAACAAGAUCCUGAGGCCACAGGCUCCAUGCGUGCAUGUGUGGUUUUGUAAAAUCUCAAGCCGUGAAUCAAAAUAAUUUUAGAGACAGAGUCAAAGCCCAGAACCAAGCCCUGUCGCCAGGGUAGCAGAAACACAAGAAAGACUGGCUGAGAGGAGACAGCCAGAUGGGCAGAGUGAUGGGAACAAGAGGUGGGAGCCUCUGGCAUGUUUGGAGGGAAGGUACCUGGUUCCUCACCUCUGGCCUUAGGGACUCAGUUGCUGUAAUAACUUCAGGACAGUCGAAGAAGGAAUGGGCCAAAAGGGGGACUGUGAUAGCUCCCAUUUUUUUCCUUUCCAUAUCUAGAGCUUGUGUUGCCCACAUUGCUUCAUGUACACUGUCUUGUAUGAUUUCUCCUUAUUCCAAGUUCAACUUCUUUCUAUCUUCCCAUAGAAGAUUAACUCCCUGGGAGCAGGUGCCAUGGCUUGUGCAUCUAUCAGUUCCCCAGGUGGAAGUGCUUGUUGAGAACCUGCCAUAGUGGAAGCGGAUGUCACAGACCUACACUCUGGUGCUCAAUAAGCUUUCUGGAAUGUCAAUUACUUGAGUGCCAAAAUUAAGUUCUCUCUUCUUACAGUCUCUCACCACCAAUUUGGCGUAACGUAUGUAAGUAGAGGCUCAAAAGACGAGAAUUAAAUUGAGUCGAGACAUGGCUCAAGCCCAUCUUCUCUUUGAAGCCCUCCUAACCCAGCUUUCUCCCUCCAGCUUUACUCCUCCUCAGAGUAGUGCUUACCACCCCAGCAUAACCCCCUACCCUGCAUCGUGUGGUGACUUCUCCCCUGUCUGUAUCUACUGGGUAACACUAGGGGACCAUGACUUAGCCAUCUUUGUAGCCCCAGAGUUUAACAGAGUGCUAGGCACCAAGUUGGCACUCAAAAACAUUUUUGUGAAUUAAUGAAUGAAUGAGCUAUGGAGGUACAUACCACAGGGACCAUUAGCUGGUAUAUUUCAAUCCAGAUCUACCUAAUGCAUGCGUAACCUCAUGGGGGCCAUAUUAAAAAAUAAAUUAUAAGAACUAGUUUUUCAGGGGAUUGUUCUAGGAGGGGGUGGAAGGGAGUAUAGCUAUAGAUAGAAAGGCAAAAGAAUUUGAAGACCAUCUAGGUUGAUCAUUAUAAUUGAGAACAUCCAGGAAUGGAUUAAAAGCUAUACAUGUUGUUUGGAUAAAGGAUACAGCAAUGGUGGAUUUCCAUUUCUAGACUUCCACCAGAAAUUAUUUAGACGAAAUUUAGCUUAGUUCCGUUGAGGGAAGCCUGUAUUGAAAGUCCAAAGGUUCUAGACUUGGCUUGGUUACUGUGUAUGGUUUUGGGUGAGGCACUUGAACUCUCUGAGCCUUGGUCACCUUCUGUCAAGUGAAGGAUGGAACCCUUAAAAUUCUGCUAUGACUCUAAGUUUGUGAGUCUGUGAAGAAGGCUGUGAUGGAGUGUAUUACAUGCAGAUAGAGCUGUGGCUCUGACAUCUAGUUUUCUGUCUAUAAGAGGGUGUAGUGUGUUGACAUGUGCCUUUUUAAUUAGGGGGAUGUCUCCAUAGUUAGGGAAGCAUUAAAGAGGCCUUGCACAAUCCCAGUUAGAAGAUCAGAAUAAGGUACUGAGUUUACUGUGAUGGGAGAGACAGAGCUAGAACACUCUGCUGCCCUCUCUCCAUCAGGCUGAGUCAUAAGGGGCCCUUCUGGCAGGGAAGACGUGACUCUUGGCAGUCCUUGUAAACUGUGGUUGCAGCAGGGGAACUCCAGUCAGAGAAGCAUAGUAUCUGGCCAGAAUUUUAGAGGUCACUGAAUCUCAUCUUCUACUCUAUGCAGAAAUUACCUGUAAACAUCCGUAAUGUUUCUAGUCUCAGAUCACAUACAUAUUGUGAUUCAUAAGGCAGCUCAAUCCUUUGGCGAACAGUUCCCUAUAUUUAGAAGUUUGUAGAAAGUAUUGAUUCAAGAGCCCUCCUCCCAACUUACAUAAUUU